CGGGCAUUAGCUCAAUGGUAGAGCUUCCGUUUCUUAUGCGGGAAGACCUGGGUUCGAUUCCCGACUGCUUUC
rfam:Toxocara canis scaffold434, whole genome shotgun sequence.